UACGGAGGGUGCAAGCGUUAUCCGGAUUCACUGGGCUUAAAGGGAGCGUAGGAGGGCCGGUAAGUCAGUGGUGAAAUCCCCGUGCUUAACAUGGGAACUGCCGUUGAUACUAUCUGUCUUGAAUGCCGUGGAGAUAAGCGGAAUAUGUCAUGUAGCGGUGAAAUGCUUAGAUAUGACAUAGAACACCGAUUGCGAAGGCAGCUCGUUACACGAACAUUGACUCUGAGGCUCGAAAGCGUGGGGAUCAAACAGG
rnacentral:rRNA from 1 species